UACGUAGGUGGCAAGCGUUGUCCGGAUUUACUGGGCGUAAAGAGCGCGCAGGCGGUCGUUCAAGUCGCGUGUGAAAGCCCCCGGCUCAACUGGGGAGGGUCACGCGAUACUGAUCGACUCGAAGGCAGGAGAGGGUAGUGGAAUUCCCGGUGUAGUGGUGAAAUGCGUAGAUAUCGGGAGGAACACCAGUGGCGAAGGCGACAUCCUGGACCGGUAUUGACGCUGAGGCGCGAAAGCCAGGGGAGCAAACGGG
rnacentral:rRNA from 1 species